GUAAGUUCUGGGUUCAAAUUCCCUUUCAUAUUGUAGAUAGAGUUAGACAACUACUAAUUUGUGGCCAUAUUACAACUGAUUAGGGUAGAGGGUUAGUCUCUGAUUGUAACCAGCUACCUUGGAAAGGCCACGCCAACUCUUUUAGGUCACUUAGCUUUCAUCAGUGCCCGAAGGGGAAGUUUCUACCAAGCAGAUGGCAUAUGGAAACCUGUCAAGCACAAUGCCUGCUGUGGGAGCCACCUUCUCCAACUGACACCGCCUGACCCCAGCUUCCAGCUCACUCCCCGCUCUGUGAAGGAAGCAGCUCCAGUUUACAAGGAGGAAAUUGGAACAAGGCUGGCUGCUGUGUUUCAAGACAAAGACUGCUGCCACACCGGGGAGAGGAUGGGGCCAGGGCUGCUGUGUAUCCUGGGACCAUCUGCAAGGACACUCUACUGCAGGUGCCUGAUCAGACUUCAAACUGAUAUUUUUGUUGAGAAGUUGAAAGAGGGAGAUUGUAAACGGGCCCAAAGUCCUUCUGGAGAAAAACUACUGUGAGGGAAAAUUUUAGCAGGAGGAAAGAUUUUGUCAGGCUGAAUUGAUCCAGUUGUGUUUCCAGGGCAUCCAAGCCUCUCCCUGCGGCCCUGGCCCGCCUCCUCCCCAUGCACCAGGCUCUGGCUCCCGGGUACUCCUCCUGCCAUGGGGCCCACGCAGCAGCUACAAUGCAUGCUUUGUUCAGGGAGCCCUGGGGAGGCAGCUGGCUACAAAAAAGUUCAUCCACUAACUGGGCUUGUCCUUGACAUCUGGCUUCUCUCCUAGGACCUCAUUUUCCCCAACUUAAGUGGGAUUUUGAAUUAAUGAAAUUAUAGCCCUUUGAACUGACUUGAGAAUUCUCUCCCAGGCUCAAAUUACAUCUCCACUCAGUGUGUCUAGAUGGCUCCAACACUUUCACAGAUCAUCCCCUCCCAACCCCUAGGAGAUCAUCUACAUUGCUGUUUUCCAGUUGUAGAAGAAUGUGAUUCAAUAGAACCUACUGCCUGAGACAGUGAUAGCAUGUGUGCAUUUAUUGAGAGCACUAUACUAGGCAUUUUAUACUAAUUUUCUCUAAAAUUCACAACCCAUAAGGUAAAUAAUGAUACAAUAUCCCAAUUUUUCUGACAAGGAGACCAAAGCUUUUGUCUACAGUUACUCAGCUAGAGGGUGGCAGAAGCUAGAUUUGAACCCAUAUCCCUCUAAUGCUAAAGCCUGUGAGACUCCACGGUGUCCCUCUAAGUCACAAGUUGUCUGUGAGUGUAUAUUUACAAACACAUGUGGACAAAAAUUUUGAUAGUAGCAUCCACAAACGUCACAUUGAGAUGUGAAACAGGCCUCUAAUAAAUCAGAUCGGGAUAUCUUCUUUGCUUCUCACCUGGCAUGAUGCUGGGUUUGUGGCAAGAUACAAAUAUGUAUAAAGUUGGCCUCCUGUUGCCUCAACACGAGAUGCCUUUACAUCCUAAAAUUGCUAUUACUUAAGUUAAAAUACAUCACACAGUCUACUUCAGCCUGCUUCAGGUCAACUUGUGGUUGUCACAGGGGCCAGCCUCAGAGGUAGACAGAGUUUAGACUUUUCAGUCUUACCCCCAGUGUCCUUCUUCUCUCACUGGGAAUUUCCCUUUGAUAUUCCCACCAAAUACCCUUGCCCUGGAUGGAGUCAUAUUCUCUGAAGUAUCUUCCAUUCAAGGGUCCUAAGAGUCAAGGUCAUUCCUGAUGGAAACACACGCCUAGGAAAAGAAAAUCAACCCUCAAUGUGAUCUAGGUCCUUUAGAUCUAAUUUCCACUUUUUAAAAAAAUCCAAGGGUCAGAGGGACAUGUUAAAUGACACCAUAAGAACAUAGCAGCAAGUCCAGACUGGGGGAAACUGCAGGACAAAUGACCUGGUUUCUUCUCCAAUAAGAAUUUGUAAAGAAAAAAAGGCCAAGUGUAGGUGCCCAUGCCUGUAAUCCUAGCACUUUGGGAAGCUGAGGUGGCGGGAUCGCUCGAGCUCAGGAGUUCAGCCUGGGCCACAUAAUGAGACCUCAUCUCUACUAAAAAUUAAAAAAAAAUUCACUGGGCAUAGUGGCACCCACCUGUAGUCCUGGCUGUUUGGGAGCCUGAGGUGGGAAGAUUGCUUGAGCCCAGGAGGUUGAGGCUGCAGUGAGCCGUGAUUGUGCCACUGCACUCCAGCCUGGGGGACAGAAUGAAACUGUAUUGAAGAAGAAGAACAAGAACAAGAAGAAGAAGAAGAAGAGGAAGAGGAAGAGGAAGAGGAGGAAGAGGAGGAGGAGGAGGAAGAGGAAGAGGAAGAAAGAAGAAGAAGAAGGAGGAUUUAUAGAAUAUGUAGAUAGAAAGAAACUUCAGAGACAAAUCAACCAAUCUCAGUAUAUGAAUCUCUUAUUAAAUCCAGAGUCAAACAAAUGAAGUACAAAUUACAAGACAAUUGGGAAAAUGCAAACACUGGCUGGGUAUAUUAUGAGACUAAG
rnacentral:lncRNA from 1 species